rnacentral:lncRNA from 1 species
AACCAGGCCUGAUCUAUGAUGUGGGCAUGCCUGACUACAUCCUCUACCUAUGCGCCAUGGGCUACAACGACACCGAGAUCUCUCAUCUGACUGGAAAGCCCGCUCCUUGCCCCGCUAGAAGACCCUCUGUCUCCGAUGUGAACCUCCCCUCCAUAACCAUCCCGAGGCUCACGAGCACUGUCACCGUGACCAGGACCGUCAAGAACACCGGAAACCCUGAGUCGAGAUACUGGGCCGUGAUCGAGCCGCCCUCCGGCACCACGGUGACGGUGAGGCCUCACGUCCUGGCGUUCGAUCCGGAAACCAAGAAGGCCGCCUUCAGCGUCACGGUCUGCGCGGCUGUGCCGGUGAACACGGGGUACUACUUCGGAAGCUUGGUUUGGACCGAUGGAGUGCACGCCGUGAGGAGUCCCCUGGCCGUCAGGGUAUUGAAUCAAACUCCGUUCUACUCAGCUGAAUAGUAAGGCUCAAGUGGCAUCGUUCGCGCAUUGUAAUCCUAACGAAGCAAAUAAAAAAUCGCGUUCGCUUUCGAUUGACAUGGCGGCUGCAUCUGCGAGCUAUUUCCAGAGCCGCGCGUAUUUUCUGACUACGACGAAAUGUCAGGCCAUCCAUUGAGCCGACUCGAGUAAUUAAAAUGCCUUCAAGUUCAAAACGGCCAUUGCAGCUUCAAUCGACGGUCGACAGCUAACAGCAGGAUGAGCACACCAAAGCCCCGCGAUCAUCAAGGCCUUCGCCUGUUUCUUGUCGAAAUCUGUGUUUGACUGCGUGCUUUAGUGUGGUGUCUGGAUUAGUUCGUGUUGAAUUCAUAGUUCUACAUCGAUGUUGCAGUGGAAACUGAUAUGCAAGCCGGAGCAAAUGAUGUAUACGAGGUAACCCAAAAGAACACCGAUACACAAAGUAUAUAAGUUCAUACUUAUGCAAGUUAUAAUGUAUCCAUAUAUCUUUGUGCCAAUAUUUAUAAUUUAUUGGAUCAUAUGGUCAGCUUCUGUGGGUUAUACUCAUUGGAAUGAUGUUUGCUCUCAUCAUCCAAUCGCUGGCUGCUAAUCUCGGAGUGACCACUGGUAAUCAUUCCGUUAAAGAAAUUUAAGGAGGAAUUUAUGACUAUUUUUCCUGCUCGCGAACACUCUUGCAAUUUCUUGAAUGUGAUUAUUGACUUGUCUUUUAUGAAUAUUUCGGAAUUCCAGGCAAACACCUGGCUGAGCUAUGCAAGGUCGAGUAUCCACCGUUGGUGAAGUAUUGUCUAUGGCUUCUGGCUGAAGUGGCCGUCAUAGCCGCCGAUAUACCCGAAGGCAUCUCUCUCUCUCUCUCUCUCAUUAUCAUGCCCUUCAUCAUAUCAGGUCGUAGAACUCAUGUUCGGUAUCUCAUAUUUCCUUUUACGAACUAUUCUUCAGUUGUCACAAAUCUUUAUCGACUUUUUCAUCAAAUGGAGCUGCAUUUACAAGCGUGAUACUGCAAAAUCUUUUACCCUCCUCCCCCCCCCCCCCCCCCCCCCCCCCUCCUUCUCUCUCUCUCUCUCUCGUAUUAAAGCUGUUCAGCACUGUUCUCAACAGUCCUUAUUGAGCUCAAAUGCCGUAAAGGGGUUGAUCCUGGAAAAAUGAGGUUUGAAAGUCAUUUUAGCUCAAGCUUUCUGAUUGAGAAGUCAGUGUUCAGUUUCUAACAAUCUUUCUGGAUCAAUUAUUAUAGACUUAGGGACCCAGCCCGUUGGUGGCAGAGAUGGUGGAGUUGCAUGUUGGCCACCCGCAAGGCCAAAGUUCAACUCCCCAUCUCGUUAUUUGCGCGACUUACUUGCGGCACGUAAGAGGUGGGUCCCUGUGAGUUGUCCCGGGUUUAACCGCCGGCUGCCGGCUGUACGGCACUUCCCGAAUCACCAUAAAAAUAUAUAUAUAUUAUAGACUUAAGGCGCAUUUAAUAACCAUAUUCAAAAAAUAUAUUCCCAGAAUAGAAUUUGGUUUGGCACCAUAUUCAAAAUUUCUACUCCAAACUAUUUUCUUUUAAUUUUUUUAAUUUUAUUAUUAUUAUUAUUAUUUUUCUUUUCUUUCCUUUCUUCUUCUUCAACCUUUGGCAGGUUGCUAACCUCGGGAUGAUUGGCAAUCGACUAGACGAGGGUCGGCGACCUUGCCGAAGCAUCGUCGGCCCUCGGUGAGGCCAUGCCUUGUCGGCUGAGCCUCGUCGGCAACUGGGCGAGGCUUGCCAAUGAUGGGCAAGCCUCCAAUGAGCUCACAGGACCUUGGCCUAGCUUGGUGAGCCUUCGGCGAGGUUGUUGACAGUGGGUGGAGGGUGGCAGCGGUGGCGGCGGUGGAAGAAGAAGAGAGAAGGAAGAAGAACUAAAAGAAAAGAAGAGAAAAGAGAAAAAAUGGGUUGGCUUGAUUCUGGAAUUGUUCUCGAGAGCAAAAAAUCAAUCUUUUUUUACUUUCCAAUUUUACUAUAAAUCUAUUCUCGCAAACAAAUUUAUUUUCUAGAAAAAAAAUUUACCAAAUGAAUUUCUAUUCCAAAUCUACUCUCGGUAAUAUACACCGUUUUGACCACUUAAAUUACUCUAUCUACUAAAUGAGCAAGUUGCAAACGUUAAGGAAACUUCUUAUGCUAGAUCUUACCAAAUUAAGACAAACAUACUGAAGUUUUUGGUUUGGAGGUCUGGGCCCCUGGCAAACCCUCCGUGGAUCUUCCCCCAGUGGAUCAUUAGGAGAUUCUAGAUGAAUUACUCGCUCCUUGUGGCUAAACCUUGUGGUUAAGCAUGAUGUUUUAUGUAGGUUUCUUUCUACCUGCCAUCUUUUUUGGAGGAGUAUGCUUCUCAUAUCUGUUUCUGUGAACCAAAAAUAAUUUUAUUAUGCUUUUUGGGAUGUAUGUUGAAGAAUAUAAGCAGCUCUCAUCUAAAACAGUCAUGAAAUCUCGAUAUUCCGGAUCACUGUCUGAACCCUGCCAGGGGAAUUGAUAUCUUGAAGAACAGAGACUAAUAAAGCCUCAUACAUAUAACUCUGGAUGCAUGACGGUGUUUUGAAAAUACAAUUGAUUAACCAUCUCGACUGUGCAUGUGAACAGUGGAAUUCCUGGCGAUUAUUCGGUCUGGUAUUGCACGAUCCGCAAAAGUUAAAUUAGAUGGACUCGUUUAUAGGCGUGGUAGAUCGAUGGUGCCAAUCAAGUGCAAGGGACACGUAGGAAAUGGGGUUAGUUUCACCCACUUUUUUAUAAGCUAUUCAUCUUCAUAUUCUUCAAGGUGACUACUGUCUGAGGAGAAACUCUUUUACGCAUAAAGGGAUAAUGAAAGUCUGUGGUCUGGCCUUCACUCCUCAUUCUUGAAGCCAAGAAAACCCCCGUUAGCGUCACCUUUUAAGAUAAGUGACCCUUAAAACUUUAGGGGACCUCUAAACUUGGAGGCCCUUGUAUGACCAAACUCUGUUUUUACUGCAUAUUAUUUCCUAUAUUCGUGCCCUUUAUUGUUGUUUAAUCAGUGGGAUCUUGAACAAGAACCACCCCUUCAAAUUAUGGCCUUGAUCACAAAGCAACAUGUUCAAAUCAGGAGCGAGGUCAUUAUCUGGUUUGACCUUACUUGGUUUCCACAUCUUUUGAAUUCUUGGUGUGGAUUGCACUGCUUUUGUGCCUGACCUUGCAAGCUCCCCUUCAAGGAUACUUAAAAGUGGGCAUUGUCGUUCUCUAUCGCAUCGAGUUUCUAUAUUGGGUAGUUGCUAAAGCAGCAAGCGAUCGAUCUCAUGAUCCUGAUAUUCACUUCAUCUCUUUGUCAAAAUCACGAAACAUCGGCAACACACCACGAUGAGAAACUUGGCAACUUCGCUGGUGGUCGCAUGUUUUCUUCUUGGGCAAUGGGGCAUUACCAGAACGGUGAAGGCAAAGAGCAAUGUGUGUGAAUCUCAUGCUUUUAACGUGUUUCUCUGUGAUUCUGUUUUCUCUUAGAAAGGAAGCAAUCCUGGCAAAUUUAUGGGCAGGUUUAUAUUGUGUACUUUGGAGUGAGGAAGCAAGGCGAUCCCACAGUGGAGACCGAUUCGCAUCAUGACAUGCUUGCAUCAGUACUUGGGAGGUAAAAGGAGUUUCGAAACUUUUGAAAAGAACAACAAAAGCAGGUGUUUUGAUUCAGUUCCUAAUGGCGUGGUCCGGUGACCAUCUGCUUUUUUCUCUGUUCUCUGGAACGUGUUAAUUCUGCUUCAGCAAGGAAGCGGCCGCCAUAUCGAUCUUGUACAGCUAUAGGCAUGGCUUCUCUGGUUUUGCUGCGAAGCUUACUGAGUCUCAGGCACAAGAACUCGCCGGUAUGUCAGUGUAUAAUUAAUUUGCAUUCUUUUGCUAGACCUGCAGAUCAUUUCGUGCGCUUGCACUUCAGCAUUUGUUCAUGUUUCAGGAUUCCCUGGGGUCGUCCGCGUUAUGCCUAAUACCCUUUUCCGCCUGCAAACUACUCGGAGCUGGGAUUUCCUUGGUCUGUCUCCCUCUCAUUCACCCACCAGUCUCCUUUACAAAAGCAGGAUGGGUGAUGGAGUUAUAGUAGGCAUGAUAGAUACAGGUCGAUUUUGUCUCUACAUCUUUGCCCUCUUUCUCUGUUUCUAGAUUAAACCAUGUCACUAGCUUUAUGUUUCACACAAUGUAGCAGGAAUUUGGCCGGAGUCAAAGUCAUUCAGCGAUGAAGGCCUUGGACCGAUCCCGUCGCGCUGGAAAGGUGGUUGCGAACCGGCGGAGCAAUUCGAUCCAGCCAAACACUGCAACAGAAAGAUAAUAGGGGCUCGCUGGUUCGUGGAUGGAUUCCUCGCAGAGUAUGGAAAACCAUUGAAUGCCUCGGGGGACCUGGAGUUCUUGUCGCCGAGAGACGCAAAUGGACAUGGGACUCACACGUCCAGCACCGCCGUGGGUUCUUUUGUGAGCAAUGUCAGUUACAGAGGAAUUGGGUAUGGAACGGCGAGAGGUGGUGCUCCCCGUGCCCGGCUAGCGGUGUACAAGGUGUGCUGGAAUGUGCUCAACGUACAGUGCUCGUCUGCAGACAUAUUGAAAGCAUUUGACGAGGCAAUUCAUGAUGGAGUGGACGUGCUGUCUGUGUCUAUUGGGACUGCGAUUCCUCUCUUCUCCGAUGUGGAUGACCGAGAUGCCAUUGCUACCGGUGCAUUCCAUGCUGUGGCACAAGGAAUAACUGUAGUUUGUGGAGCCGGCAAUGAUGGACCGGCGGCUCAAACAGUGCAGAACACAGCGCCGUGGAUACUAACUGUCGGAGCAACUUCCAUCGACCGAGCCUUCCGUACUAUCAUAACCCUCGGAAACAAUGAAACGUUAGUGGUAUGUGUUGCUAUUUGAGGUUUAGCAGAUGAAAGUAUCCUAGGAAUUUUGCACCAAGUGUGUGAUGAGUUGCUUAUUGCUCUCUAAGGGCCAAGCCAUAUACACAGGAAAGGAAAUCGGUUUUACGACUUUGCUAUAUCCAGAAGGCACAACCCUCGAUCCUACUUCGGCAGGGUUAGACCAUCUGCUCAUCUGAUGAUUCUGUUACCGUUAAUUGCGGACAGAGAAAGCUAAAGCUGCUAAUCUUCUCUUGAAUUGAUCACAGGGUAUGUGAACGUCUCUCCCCUAAUGCAACAUUGAUGGCUGGGAAAGUGGUCCUGUGCUUCACCUCCAUAGCACGUAGGUUUGAGGUAGUACCACUCGCCUCAGCGGCUGUGAAGGCGUCUAGGGGCAUUGGCGUGAUUGUUGCCAAGAACCCUAGUGACGGGUUGGCUCCGUGCAGCGGCGACUUCCCAUGUGUCGAGGUGGAUUACGAGAUUGGAACCCAAAUUCUAGUCUACUUCCGCUCGGCAAGGUAUGUCAUGACAGUCUUCGUCAUGUUGCGGUUUGUCGAAACCUAAAGCUAAUCACUCACACAGAAUUGAAUGACCGUUUUCAUGGAUCCUGCACAGAUUCCCUAAGGUAAAGUUGAGCCCGACAAUAACUGCUGUCGGCAAAGCAGUCCAGGCAAAGGUCGCCUUCUUCUCUUCCAGAGGGCCGAGCUCUAUUUCUCCAGCUGUUCUCAAGGUACAUCUGGUUCUUAACUGAGUCCUUCGGCCAUUGGCCGUCCAGUUUGUAGUUCUCCGGGUACAUUCGACUCGCGGGAGUUCCAUGAAAGUGGUUCGAGACUCUCGGAAACAUACCCUCAUCUGCUAUUUACCGUCUUUACCGCUGUUCAACUUGUGUGAAAUUUUCAAAUUUUCGCAAAACUAGGAGCAUGUGCUGAUUCUAGCUCGUUUGAAGUUUCAUGGAGUAUCAAAAGAUCAUCAACUAGUCUCUUCUGCACAAUCAAAAAGAGAUAGAAACAUCUGCUUUGAUGUUGUUCUGUGACACAGCCAGAUGUAACAGCACCCGGGGUGAACAUACUGGCCGCCACUUCGCCCUUCAGUCCGUCGGAGGACAAUGGAUACAGGAUACUCUCGGGAACUUCUAUGGCCACCCCUCACGUUGCGGGCAUCGUGGCGCUCCUCAAAGCGCUUCACCCGGAUUGGUCGCCGGCGGCAUUUAGAUCAGCCCUUGUGACUACUGGUAUUUCUCCAACUCAACUGAAUCGCGAAACAGUUCUUUAAGAUCGACUUCUUGCCUUUUUGGUCCGCGGAGUGACCGGCGAACAUAUUGCAUCAGCUAAUACGUUCAGAGACGUUAACAUUAGAUGAUGUUCCAUCAAUCAGAACACCGCUCAAGUGAUUAAGCAUUGCUGAUAUUAAAAGCCUUUUUUGCAGCCUGGAGGACCAACCCGCCGGGUUUUCCCAUAUUUGCCUCAGGAUUUCCUCCGAAACUGGCCGACCCGUUCGACAUGGGAGGCGGCAAUGUGAACCCGAACUCCGCGGCCGAACCAGGCCUAAUCUACGACGUGGGCACGCCUGACUACAUCCUCUACCUAUGCGCCAUGGGCUACAACGACACCGAGAUCUCUCAUCUGACCGGAAAGCCCGCUCCUUGCCCCGCUAGAAGACCCUCUGUCUCCGAUGUGAACCUCCCCUCCAUAACCAUCGCGAGGCUCACGAGCACUGUCACCGUGACCAGGACCGUCACGAACACCGGAAACCCC